AUGAACGCUAGCUACAGGCUUAACACAUGCAAGUCGAGGGGCAGCGGGAUUGAAGCUUGCUUCAAUUGCCGGCGACCGGCGCACGGGUGAGUAACGCGUAUCCAACCUUCCGCUUACUCGGGGAUAGCCUUUCGAAAGAAAGAUUAAUACCCGAUGGUAUCUUAAGCACGCAUGAGAUUAAGAUUAAAGAUUUAUCGGUAAGCGAUGGGGAUGCGUUCCAUUAGGCAGUUGGCGGGGUAACGGCCCACCAAACCUACGAUGGAUAGGGGUUCUGAGAGGAAGGUCCCCCACAUUGGAACUGAGACACGGUCCAAACUCCUACGGGAGGCAGCAGUGAGGAAUAUUGGUCAAUGGGCGAGAGCCUGAACCAGCCAAGUAGCGUGAAGGAUGACGGCCCUACGGGUUGUAAACUUCUUUUGUGCGGGAAUAAAGGAACCUACGUGUAGGUUUUUGCAUGUACCGUAACGAAUAAGCAUCGGCUAACUCCGUGCCAGCAGCCGCGGUAAUACGGAGGAUGCGAGCGUUAUCCGGAUUUAUUGGGUUUAAAGGGAGCGUAGACGGGUUUUUAAGUCAGCUGUGAAAGUUUGGGGCUCAACCUUAAAAUUGCAGUUGAAACUGGAGACCUUGAGUACGGUUGAGGCAGGCGGAAUUCGUGGUGUAGCGGUGAAAUGCUUAGAUAUCACGAAGAACCCCGAUUGCGAAGGCAGCCUGCUAAGCCGCCACUGACGUUGAGGCUCGAAAGUGCGGGUAUCAAACAGGAUUAGAUACCCUGGUAGUCCGCACGGUAAACGAUGGAUACUCGCUGUUGGCGAUAGACAGUCAGCGGCCAAGCGAAAGCGUUAAGUAUCCCACCUGGGGAGUACGCCGGCAACGGUGAAACUCAAAGGAAUUGACGGGGGCCCGCACAAGCGGAGGAACAUGUGGUUUAAUUCGAUGAUACGCGAGGAACCUUACCCGGGCUUGAACUGCAGUGGAAUUAUCCGGAAACGGAUAAGCGAGCAAUCGCCGCUGUGGAGGUGCUGCAUGGUUGUCGUCAGCUCGUGUCGUGAGAUGUUGGGUUAAGUCCCGCAACGAGCGCAACCCUUAUUGCCAGUUACUACGCAAGAGGACUCUGGCGAGACUGCCGUUGACAAAACGGAGGAAGGUGGGGAUGACGUCAAAUCAUCAUGCCCUUUAUGACCUGGGCUACACACGUACUACAAUGGCGUUUAACAAAGAGAAGCAAGACCGCGAGGUGGAGCAAAACUCAGAAACAACGUCCCAGUUCGGACUGCAGGCUGCAACUCGCCUGCACGAAGUCGGAAUUGCUAGUAAUCGUGGAUCAGCAUGCCACGGUGAAUACGUUCCCGGGCCUUGUACACACCGCCCGUCAAGCCAUGAAAGCCGGGGGUACCUGAAGUACGUAACCGCGAGGAUCGUCCUAGGGUAAAGCCGGUAAUUGGGGCU
rnacentral:rRNA from 1 species